CCUACGGGAGGCUGCAGUGAGGAAUAUUGGUCAAUGGGCGGAAGCCUGAACCAGCCAAGUCGCGUGCAGGAUGACGGCCCUACGGAUUGUAAACUGCUUUUAUACGGGAAUAACGCGCAUUACGUGUAGGCCUUUGCAUGUACCUUAUGAAUAAGCACCGGCUAAUUCCGUGCCAGCAGCCGCGGUAAUACGGAAGGUCCGGGCGUUAUCCGGAUUUAUUGGGUUUAAAGGGAGCGUAGGCCGCAUGUCAAGCGUGCUGUGAAAUGCCCGGGCUCAACCCGGGCCUUGCAGCGCGAACUGGCGUGCUUGAGUCCGCGGAAAGCAGGCGGAAUGCGUCGUGUAGCGGUGAAAUGCUUAGAUAUGACGAAGAACCCCGAUUGCGAAGGCAGCUUGCUGCAGCGGAACUGACGCUGAUGCUCGAAAGCGCGGGUAUCGAACAGGAUUAGAUACCCUGGUAGUC
rnacentral:rRNA from 1 species